rnacentral:rRNA from 1 species
UGGCUCAGGAUGAACGCUGGCGGCGUGCUUAACACAUGCAAGUCGAACGAAGCAUUUUUCGAUUCUUCGGAAAAGGAAAAUGACUGAGUGGCGGACGGGUGAGUAACGCGUGGGAAACCUGCCUUAUACCGGGGGAUAGCAGUUGGAAACGACUGGUAAAACCGCAUAAGCGCACGGGUACGCAUGUAUCUGUGUGAAAAACUCUGGUGGUAUAAGAUGGUCCCGCGUCUGAUUAGGCAGUUGGCGGGGCAGCGGCCCACCAAACCGACGAUCAGUAGCCGACCUGGGAGGGUGACCGGCCCAUUGGGACUGAGACACGGCCCAGACUCCUACGGGAGGCAGCAGUGGGGAAUAA